CCUCUCAUGGGCGUAGUGGUUAACGCGCCUCAACUAGAGAUCGGGGAGCCGUGAGUUCGAUUCUCACUGAGAAGA
rnacentral:tRNA from 1 species